GUCAAAUGAAUGGGGGGCCGUACAAUAUUUCCUUCCAACUCUCUCAUGACAUUUUUACCUGCAGACUGCUGCUGCAAUGAAAAAACGAGUGUCCGACGAAAGGGGCGUUACCUCGACUCAAUGAGCGUGCGCUAUCUCUCCUGGAGAGUACACGUAGCAAACGGAGACAGUGAUAGUGUUGUUGUGUUAGCUAGUCACCUACAACCUAUCUCAGGUGCGAAAUUGCAGAAUUGCCUUUGCGUUUUCAUGGGAGAGGUCGUGUGCGGUGAAUGAUGGUGGUGUCCGAUAUCCGGGGUCGCAGAGAAGGAUCACGUUUACCGUCCUAGCAUAACCGUUUCAAGCCUUUGGAAGUCCCGCGUCUGGAAUCACAGUCUUUACUAAUCCUUCUUACUGUGGACUUUAACAAAGCUCAGUCUUACUUCGUUUACUUCUUGCACGGCUGUCCGAUGAUUGAUGGUGUCCGAUAACAGGGGCGUCGCUCUACUUCUACUGUUGGUUGAAUGCAGCGCCUCUACAGGACGACUGGGCCAGUAGGAAGCAAAUCUUCGAUUAUCUUGAAGUGAUGGUGAAUUGUCUUUACCUAGCACGGUCAAUCAAAUUGCGGCAGCGUACGACAGGGUGACCAACAUUACAAUCGACUGGCACGUGAACUGAUCGAACCGGAGAACCACGUCUCUUACGUACGGCAACUUCGUGCAUCAGCUUCUCACGAAGAUGUCCAUCAACAGACAGAUCAGAACAUCAACACUGAUACGUAAUUCUGAGAAUUACGACAUUCUCGCUCUGUUCAGUGAUCCAGAUGUUCCCCAUGCUCAAAUUUUCAUAAAAUGGUCGAGGGAACAAAGGAAUUCAUUUCAGCUCUGGAACAAUAAUUAAUUAAAGCCAAGCGUAGCCUCGACCUCCCAGACCCGUGUAGCGCCG